AGAGGCUACCAUCGAAUGGUCAGCGAGUCCUCCCGAACCUCCUAUCAAAACCAAAAGAUGACAUUCGCCUACCACGAAGGGCCUGACGAAGUCUAAGUGGCGACAAUUGCCUACCCCGAAGGGCCUGACAAUGCCAAAGUGACGACAAUUGCCUACCCCGAAGGGCCUGACAAUGCCAAAGUGACCACCUGCCGAAGAGGCUACCAUCGAAUGGUCAGCGAGUCCUCCCGAACCUCCUAACUCCGAGGUGGCAUUUGCUGUGCCUGUCAGAAUAUGGAUGAGCUACGGAAGUUCCUUAUGAAUGUUUUAAACUUCGAUCCCAUGAGCUGGCGUUUGUUAACCUGAUCCCUAGACAAUGGACCCAGUACGACUACCCCCCAGACAGCAAGAGGUAUAGGAGAUAAAAUCGAAAUAUAGCCUUUUGGUGGCUGAUGUGGGAUCGAACCAUUUGGCUGACAAAUAUCCACAUGAACCCUCCGAACAACAUUUGCAGCUUCGGACGGCACCCGAGAUUCCUCAAUAGUGGGAGAUGGGUCCAAAGUAAAAUACCCGAAGUCUUUCUGUGCUGAAUCCCCAGUUCUUUCAAG
rnacentral:lncRNA from 1 species